rnacentral:piRNA from 1 species
UAAAGUCAUUGUUGUCAAAUUCCAUGCCC